CAACCGCUUUCACAUUGUGGAAUCUCAUAGGUUUAUGUCAUGAUUAAUAAUGGUGUAAUUCAUGUUAUGUAUGAUAGAUGGUUAUGGAAUGAUGAGAAAGAAGAAUUAGUGAUAUGUUAUAUGACCGGCACAUUUGAGUUCUCCUAGCUCUGCUUGAUGAAGAGAUUUUCUGUUACGUUGUUGUUCCACUAACUGCAUAUGAUCCAUUUAUUACACAAGUAUGAAUUGAUUUACUUAUCAGCUAUGAUAGAAAAGACAACUGAUUCUUCUUAACUGAUGUUUAACAUGCUGGGGUAGUUGGGGUAGUUGAAUAGAGCAUAAGUUCAGAUUCGUAGUACUUUGAAUGCUAACCUUUUUUGCAGCUCAAUUUCAAUUUUGAUUUUUUGCAAACAACCAAGUAGAGCAAUGUAAAUGCAACUUUUUCCCUUUUGGAUGAUUUGGCGCUAUAGUUGUGCUCUUCAUGCUAUACAUUUUCCUAGAAAUUAGACAGUAAGGAUUUAAGAAAAAAUAAAUGAUGGUUUCUCGUGAAAAGCUCCUGCUGAUUGUUUUCCCCCCAGUUUCUUAUCCAUCUUAUAGGUAUUAGCAAAGAUGAUAUCUGUGGAAGGUAAUGGACCCUAAUUGCCACAAUUUUUUGCUCGAUAUCUAAUAUUCCAUCAUAUUUAAUAUGCAGAGUACUGUACAUUUUUCUUCUCGUGCAUUUUUUCUGAUUUCACAGUACGAACUACCCAGUAUUGAAUAACAUUUAUUUGGGGAUUAACAUUGUAGUGCAUAUAACCGGAUAAUGUGAUGGUGAUUCUAAGGUUCCUACUAAAGAGGUAAUGUGAAUAGGCCUGACACUUAUUUUAGAGAGCUCAUAUUCUCUUACGUUGAAAUGAACGCCUGGGAUAUUUUUGUAGUUUUUACCGUAGUUUGGAUCAGUAAUCAAGAAAAGAUGUCUUAUAUGAAUUUGAAGAUCUUGGGGGGUACCUAUUAGUUUUCAAUGUAGUACUUUCUGAUGAGACCUUACAUCCCCUUUAUUGUAUCAUAUUUUUCUGUUAUUUCUUUGCUCUUUUUGCUCUUCUUGGUUGCAGUGUUCACAUGAAUCAGUCGAGCACCACCCAAAAAAGGAACUGUGAAGAGAAGCUUGAAUCAUGUCUCUACAAAAUCACUGAAAAGAAUCUCUGACCAAUCAGCAGCAAGGUUAAUAAUAAUAGGAGAAAAGAAGAUUCUUGGUUUUUUGUUGAUCUUGGUGUCAUGAACUGGUUAAUAUCUUCACCGUGUGCCUAAAGCGAAAAGAAAAUUGUUUGCACGAAGAGAUGCUCAAGCCAACUAUAGUUGAAUUGUAUAGUUUGGUAACUUUGUACGUGACAAAUGUUGCUAUAUUACUUUUUGUUCUUGGUA